AGGUUACCUGCGCAGACCAGGAGAAUGGAAGCUAUGAGGACAGCAACUUUUCUGAAACCCAUCAUGACAAAGACUCUGCAAGUGGUGGAGAUGCUUCAGCUUCUGGAGCAGAUACGGAAGAGCCCAAGUGUGCAGACGGCCAUCAGCAUAUACCAACAAGUCCUCUCCCGGAACCUGAAGAAAAAGCAAUAGAGACAAACCCUGAACAGGCAGAAGAAAUAAAACCUAGUGAGCUCGAGGAGGAUGAGGAUGCUGAAGAGCCUGACCUGACCUGCUGUGACCUUUGUAUUUGAUGGUGGAAAUCCCU